GCCUUAUUACGUUAUAAUAGUUAUAAUAAUAGUUUCUGCUGUAGCUGUAGAUCAUAAUAUAUUCCUUAUAACUGCGGACACGUGAGGUAACGUUACACAUGUUAUAACCUUUAUGGUGUUAUUGUCAAUCAUGCUUACCUAGCUACAUUAUUCUAUUAGCUCUGUAAAACGAUGCUAGUUGCGUCAGAAAACUAUUAGCUUGUGUUGUAUUUUGAAGCUACCCUGGCCUUAUGACUUCCAAGUGGCGCAGCGGUCUAUGGCACUACAGACACCCUGGUUCAAAUCCAGGCUGUAUCACAACUGGCUGUGAUUGGGCGUCCCAUAUUGCAGCGCACAAUUGGCCCAGCGUUGUCCGAGUUUGGCCGGUGUAGGCCAUCAUUAAACCAGAAACAUUAUUUGUCAAUAUCAUAACUGGAGCUGGACAUCUUUGGAGCUGAAGAAUGAGGACAGCUUUUGUAUGCUAACGUACACUCCUUAACAGUUGUACUGGAUGAAAACACAGCAAGAAAACACAUAUGCCAAUAUGUAAUAUUAAUCUAUUUUAUUGCAGUACUGGUAGUUGGUUCAACAACUUGUUUUACUAGAGGACAAAAAACUGAAUAUGCAUAACCCAUAUUUAAUAUCCAUGCAGUGACUGAACAACAACUGCAUUUCCACCCCCAUCUCUAAGGCAUAGUAUCAUGGCUGCAACAACACUGAAUGGCGCAGAGUGGGAGGUUACGUGGUUGACUGCCGGCACGCGCUACUUGUAUCAAUAAAUCACUAUCAGAAAA